UAACCAUGAUUCCCCUAGUAACGGCGAGUGAAGAGGGAAAAGCUCAAAGUUGGAACCUGGCUGUCUUAGAUAGUCCGGAUUGUAAACUAAAGAGCGUGAAUCCAGGCAAGCCGGUUGAUCAAGUCCUUUGGAAUGAGGCGCCACUGAGGGUGAGAGCCCCGUAAAUCGACUGAGCAUUUGUCUUUUGUGUUUCGCGUUCAAAGAGUCAGGUUGUUUGGGAAUGCAGCCUAAAGCUGGUGGUAAAUCCCACCUAAAGCUAAAUACAGGCGAGAGACCGAUAGCGAACAAGUACCGUGAGGGAAAGAUGAAAAGUACUUUGAAAAGAGAGUUAAACAGUAUGUGAAAUUGCCAAGAGGGAAGCAUUUGGAGUUAGACUGACUUGAAGUUAAUCAGCUUGGUCUUUGGACUGGGUGUACUUGACUUCUAUGUCUGCCAAUAGCAGUUAGUCCUGGUGGAAAAAACUGAAGGGAAGGUAGUCCUUCGGGAUGUUUAUAGACCUUUGGAAAAUACACUGGGAUUGACUGAGGAAUGCAGUAGAUGCUAUUAAGGCUUCGUCUANUAGGUGUUAGGUGAAGGUACUUGGUAUUUUCAGCUUGCUGAUGUGCUAGGUUACUUGAGCUUAAUUGCUUGCUAGAACUGUAAUCUACUUUGGUUAUUGGCUUAAUGACUCUAAAUGG
rnacentral:rRNA from 1 species